GUCUGUGCGCAUGUGCGAGCGAUUGCGGAGCGAGUGAGAAGCGUGUGAACUUUAUAAACUCUCCCCUCCUCCAGUUGUCGUCGCUCAAGAUAGUUUCGUUGAAAUAUCUGGUGAUUUCAGACUUGUGGAGAGUUAUUUCAAUGAAUAAUGUUUCACACAUGGCUUUUAUUGUGUUUGUUCUUGUGGCAUGUGGUCGGUGUGUUUGGUGUUGAUCCAGAUAAAGUGAAGUCAGUGUCAGUGAUGGAGGGAGAUUCUGUCACUUUACACACUGAUCUUACUCAAAUACAAGAUAAAGAUGAGAUCGACUGGUGGUUUGAAUCUGAAACUUGCAUCGCUAGAAUCAAGAGAAAGAUCUUCAAUACAUAUGAAAAUGUUCUUGGUGGGAGAUUCAGAGGUCGACUGCAUCUGAACAAUCAGACUGGAGAUCUCACCAUCACAAACAUCAAAACUGAACACACUGGACUUUAUCAAGAUAAUUUGAUCAAGAUAUUAUCACUACAGAUAAUAAAGAUAUAAAAAAGAUAUUCAGUGUCACAGUUUAUGGUGAGUGUUACAGUGUCGUCUGUCUUCAUCAUUAUAUUAAUAAUCAUUUACAGAAU